rnacentral:lncRNA from 1 species
UAAAUUCAAAAUAAAUUAUUGCCAUUCAUUAUAAAUAAAUUUCUACCAAAAAUAAGACUCAAAGAACUUUUUAUUAUUAUUCAUAUUAACAAUAACAACGUACGUACACACAUGUUGGCGUAUGAAUACACAACGUCAGAGUGGGCGUAUCGCCAUAAAAAUUGACAACAUUGAAAAUAAAACUAAUACUUUUAACCAAUCAGAAGACAGUAAAUACUACAAAUUUAUUUAUUAAGACAUGUUCCAAAAAUAAUCAGUUAUUGAUUAAAAAAAAUCCGCAACUUAUAUACGAAUAAUAAACAAAUCUGAGAAUGUAUUUUUGUAGUUAUAAUGACGAUGUGCACAGAAC